rnacentral:misc_RNA from 1 species
GGUAUGGGAUUCAAUUGUAAGAGCAAGACCCUAAGAAUAUUACCUUUUUGUACUUGCCCAAGUUAUGUGGAAUUAAAUAAGUGUUCAGCUCGGGUCAGUGUGGAAAGUCUUUUAUGUGGGUUGUACAAACAAGAUCUGAUUAUUUGAGUACAAGUGUCAGAUGCAAGAGUUGCACUUUUUGAUCUCAUAAUAGUAAAGAUCUAAGGAUGAUAACCAUCUUGCUUAUGUAUCUUCUUGCCGAUGUUAUAUCAGCUGAUCAUAUUCCUGUUCUCUUAUGUGCUUAAUUGAAAGAAUGUAUAGAAACUCUACUCUGCCCUCUCACUCUAAUUUUGACUUGCAUCUUUUUUGGCUUAGUGUCACCCAUGGUCAUUGAAUUUAUGAGUGAAUUUCAUUAUGGCCAUUGAAUUGUAUUGAUAAAAUCACUUUAAUUUUGUUUCAAUAAGGUUAA